rnacentral:rRNA from 1 species
GACGAACGCUGGCGGCGUGCUUAACACAUGCAAGUCGAGCGGUAAGGCCCUUUCGGGGUACGACGAGCGGCGAACGGGUAGGAGUAACAACGUGAGUAAAUACUGCCUUUCGGUCGUUGGGUAAGUAAACUUACGGGUAAAGUACGGGGCGUAAUGCCUCGAUGUUUACUUGUCUGCUGCAUGGUGGGUGGUGGAAAGAAUUUUGGUCCGAGGAGUGAGCUCGCGGUCUAUCAGCUU